rnacentral:rRNA from 1 species
GACGUACCACCCAAACGUUAUUCGGAAUCACUGGGCUUAAAGAGUCCGUAGGCGGCUAGGAAAGUUGGGUGUGAAAUACCUCGGCUCAACCGAGGAAUUGCGCUCAAAACUACCUAGCUCGAGAAAGACAGAGGUGAGCGGAACUGAUGGUGGAGCGGUGAAAUGCAUUGAUAUCAUCAGGAACACCGGUGGCGAAAGCGGCUCACUGGGUCUUUUCUGACGCUGAGGGACGAAAGCUAGGGGAGCGAACGGGAUUAGAAACCCGCGUAGUCC